GUGAAUCAAAUUUCCCUGAGGCCGCGAGGUCGACGGGUGGGGUCGAGCCCUCGCGCUCGGCUCCGAAUCACAUCCAUAACACCUGUGAACUGUCUGUCAGGCCCAUCGGCUUCGGCCCCUGGACUUGCACCCUACAAACUUACUCUGUAACAAAUGUCGAAAAUUAUAAUCAAAUA
rnacentral:misc_RNA from 1 species